ACGGAGGGUGCAAGCGUUGUUCGGAAUCACUGGGCGUAAAGGGCGUGUAGGCGGCCUGUUAAGUCCGAUGUGAAAUCCCCUCGCUCAACGAGGGAACUGCGUCGGAAACUGGCAGGCUCGAGUACCGGAGAGGAAGGUGGAAUUCCCGGUGUAGCGGUGAAAUGCGUAGAUAUCGAGAGGAACACCUGCGGCGAAGGCGGGUUGCUGGGCUGACACUGACGCUGAUGUGCGAAAGCUAGGGGAGCGAACGGGA
rnacentral:rRNA from 1 species